rnacentral:lncRNA from 1 species
GGUGUGAUGGAACCUUCAGCUUUCUGUUUACCUGGAUUCUUCAUGGUCUUCAUUCUUCUAAAGAUCACAGUACUCACCCAAGGAAGGGGUACUGGUAGAGUGUACUGCAGAAAGUUUGUUCCCACCUGCUAAGAUGACAUGGAGAGACAGCAAUGGAAAUAUAAUUCCACCUCAACCACAUUUGACUCUCAGGAUAAAGCUGGGUUAUUUUGUUUGAAGAGCACCAUUCUUUUGAAGAAUAGAACAGAAGGUCUUAUUACUUGCUCCAUUUACAAUAAAACUACUAAUCAGGAGAAAAAGAGAAGUAUUAUCAUAUCAGAUGUCCUAUUCAAACCACAGUAUAUGUCAUUGAUGUCAAACAAUCUUUUAUGUCUUGGAAUAUAUUUAAUCUUUAUAAUUUUUUCUUAAUUUUCUCAAAGGAAUACUUUUUUGUCUCAAAAAGACUUGUUUAUUUCAGAAAACUAAUGAUUAAAAUCAAGAAAGUUUGGAGUAAUAAAACAAGAGCUUGCUGUGCACUUAUCUGGGAGUUCCUAGAGAUAGUUUUGUUUAUUGCCUUCCUCCCUCUCUACUUGGUGUUCAGGAUUAGAGCUUUUACUUUGGAUGAGGCACACAUAUUGUAUAAUAUUUGGCUGUGGAAAGUAUGUACAACUUUGAUUGUAAUGAUGAUACUUUUCACUGCGCUCAUUUUGUUUCUACUUUGGACCCUGAACGUUAUGGUAAGAUGCCCUGCUUAUCUUCCGUGAAUAUAGAUUUUUCUACACAUGACGCAGAGCAAAAAAAUUCUAAAUCUGCUAAGUUCCAAGAAAAUUAUGAUGUAGCAGGCCAAAUGAUCCUAGAAACUUAUGAAGAAACAAUAUUUUGUCAGCAUCAAGAAAGUUGUGAAGAGGAUAAUUUUGACCCUC